rnacentral:rRNA from 1 species
GGAAUUGUUCGCAAUGGGCGAAAGCCUGACGCAGCGACGCCGCGUGAGGGAUGAAGGCCAUCGGGUCGUAAACCUCUGUCAGGGGGGAAGAACCCCGGAUCGGUGAAUAACCGCUCCGGCUGACGGUACCCCCCGAGGAAGCACCGGCUAACUCCGUGCCCGCAGCCGCGGUAAGACGGAGGGUGCAAACGUUGUUCGGAAUCACGGGGCGUAAAGGGCGCGCAGGCGGACUCGCAAGUCGGGAGUGAAAACUCGGGGCUCAACCCCGAGCCUGCUUCCGAAACUACGAGUCUUGAGGACCGGAGAGGAAAGUGGAAUUCCCAGUGUAGCGGUGGAAUGCGUAGAUAUUGGGAAGAACACCAGUGGCGAAGGCGACUUUCUGGACGGUUCCUGACGCUGAGGCGCGAAAGCUAGGGGAGCAAAC